rnacentral:rRNA from 1 species
CUGAUCAGCGACGCCGCGUGAGUGAAGAAGUAUUUCGGUAUGUAAAGCUCUAUCAGCAGGGAAGAAAAUGACGGUACCUGACUAAGAAGCCCCGGCUAACUACGUGCCAGCAGCCGCGGUAAUACGUAGGGGGCAAGCGUUAUCCGGAUUUACUGGGUGUAAAGGGAGCGCAGACGGCAAUGCAAGUCUGAAGUGAAAGGCGUGGGCUCAACCCAUGAACUGCUUUGGAAACUGUAUAGCUUGAGUGUCGGAGGGGUAAGCGGAAUUCCUAGUGUAGCGGUGAAAUGCGUAGAUAUUAGGAGGAACACCGGAGGCGAAGGCGGCUUACUGGACGACAACUGACGUUGAGGCUCGAAGGCGUGGGGAGCAAACAGGAUUAGAUACCCUGGUAGUCCACGCAGUAAACGAUGAAUACUUGGUGUCGGGGAGGUAAACUCUUCGGUGCCGCAAGCUAACGCAUUAAGUAUUCCACCUGGGGAGUACGUUCGCAAGAAUGAAACUCAAAGGAAUUGACGGA